AUGAAUAUGAAUUCUAUUGGUCAGGUUGUAAGAAGCAGUAAAGCCACUCUGCUGAAGUGCAGUUUCAGUGAAGUUUCUCCAGCACUGAGGCUAAGUGUAGCAGCAUUAGCAUUAGCUGCUAACUGCAGAGCUAGCUCUUUCACCAUUCAGGUGAAUCAGGCUCAGUCUAAUCCACUGGGCUCAGGACUGGGUUAUCUGGAACACAUCUGCCAGCUUAUAGAGAAGAUCGGCCAGCUACAGGAGCACAACCUCAAACUGCAGAAACAGAUAUGCAGCCUGCAAAAGGACAGCAAGAUGAUGAAGACUAAAGAGGACUUCUUCGUACAGCACUGUCACUGUGGAGCAGCUGGUCUGGCCUUUCAGGAGCUGAAGAGGUAUUCUCGCAGUGAUUACCACAGCCUAGCAGCAUCCAACGGCACGCUGUCUGACCUCAGCACCAUCCCAGAGGGCACACGCAUCCCCCACCGGUCAGGUGGCAGAGAUGGUGAGGGGAGCUGCCAGUCAGUUGUGCCCAUGUGGAGGAGAGGCUUGAAUAGGAGGAGCUACACCGAGGGAGAGACAAGAUACUUCAGUGGCAGCGCUGAGGUCCUCCCUGCCUCUCACAGACGAGUGGAGAGCUACACGUGGGGCAGGGUGAAGGAUCUGAUGAAGAAGACAAGGUUUAGAAACCAAAGCAGACUGGGACUGUCCUCCGGCUCCCUCAAGAGAUCAUGUCCUCAGCUAUACAGGCCUGAACUGGGUCAGAUGGAAUUUUCCAGAAGAGACAGGAACUCCAUGAUUGUCCUGGGCCAUCAGAAACUGGACUAUCACUGGUUUCAUUAGCAUAAAUCAGUUGGACGCUGAACAGAUGGCGUAUGAUGGGGCAACAUUUCCCUGAAGAGGAGGACGCGCUGAAGUUGUACAGAUCCAGGCACAGAAAGACAGUGAGCAGAGGGAGGAUAAGAAGAAGUGGAUGAGAAAGUGAACUGUGAUUGAUGGGAAAAGGGUUAAGAUGCAAAACGGAGGUGACCUUCAAACCUUCAGACCUUGACAUGCACCCAUAUGUACAGUAUGUUUAAAUGAGUGUACUAUGGACAUAUUCAUGUGUCUGCUACAGCAUAUUUGUCAUUCAACACAUGUUAGUGGCCACAUAUGAAUAACAUAUACUUAGAAAUGAAUUUGGGUGUGGCUGUAAAGUCUAUAUAGAAGUAUAUAGAAAUAUAAGAACAUAAGAAUAUAAGAAAUAUCCGCGUAUUACCAUCUGCUCCUAUGUAGAACAUUUUAUUGGGGCAUUUCACUUUUACUUUUUUUAUCUGAACAUUUCUGUGAAAUAUCUUUCAGAAGCAGCAAUAAUAUCAAAAAAUAAAAGUACUAUAUACUGUAUUAAUAACUGUAAA
rnacentral:lncRNA from 1 species